CAGUAAAAGAGAAAAACUUAUUCUUUAAAACAUUACCAGGUUAAUAAAAAAAGUUAAUAUCUGAGAUAAUAAUCGUUUAAAUAACAUAAAUUUAGCAAAUCUUUUUGUUGCAGAUCUGAAAUACUACUGAUCUUGAUGAUUGAAAUAGGCAUAUUAGAUGUGAUAAGUUCUGAAUCUCAAGAUUAAACAGCAUAUGAACUGCUCAAUUAAAUUUUUGUUCAACUCUGGUCAUUGAAGUAAUUUGUAACUCAAAUUUGUUUACUCUCAAUCAAUUUACGAUUUGAACAGAGGUAUACUAUUGUCGCUUUAUUUACCUUUCUUUCGGUAAAAAUAUUUGGGAAAUGAAGUGUUGCAUUAUAGAUAUGUUUUAUAUAUCAGUCCAUAAAUAUUUAAAGUCAUGAACGGAUAAAAUUUGAUCUGAAAUUAUAUUCUGCUCCUAACGUACGUAAUA
rnacentral:lncRNA from 1 species